GGACUACAAGGGUAUCUAAUCCUGUUUGAUCCCCAUGCUUUCGUGCCUGAGCGUCAAUCGAGCGCCAACGUGCUGCCUUCGCCACUGGUGUUCUUCCGAAUAUCUACACAUUUCACUGCUACACUCGGAAUUCCACACGUCUCUCGCUGAUUCAAGACUGGCAGUAUCUAAGGCAGUUUCACCGUUGAGCGAUGAGAUUUCACCCCAGACUAACCAGUCCGCCUGCGCACCCUUUACACCCAGUAAAUCCGGACAACGCUCGGAUCCUACGUAUUACCGCGGCUGCUGGCAC
rnacentral:rRNA from 1 species